UACGUAGGCAGCGAGCGUUGUUCGGAGUUACUGGGCGUAAAGAGUGCGUAGGCGGUUUUCUAAGUUUGGUGUGAAAUCUCCCGGCUUAACUGGGAGGGUGCGCCGAAGACUGGAAGGCUUGAGUAUGGGAGAGGUAAGCGGAAUUCCUGGUGUAGCGGUGAAAUGCGUAGAUAUCAGGAGGAACACCUGCGGUGUAAGACGCUUACUGGACCAUAACUGACGCUGAGGCACGAAAAGCGUGGGUAGCAAACAGG
rnacentral:rRNA from 1 species